rnacentral:misc_RNA from 1 species
GAUGAAGAACGCAGCGAAAUGCGAUAAGUAGUGUGAAUUGCAGAAUUCAGUGAAUCAUCGAAUCUUUGAACGCACAUUGCGCCCUUUGGUAUUCCUUAGGGCAUGCCUGUUCGAGCGUCAUUGCUGCCCUCAAGCACGGCUUGUGUGUUGGGCCUCCGUCCUCCUCCCGGGGGACGGGCCCGAAAGGCAGCGGCGGCACCGCGUCCGGUCCUCGAGCGUAUGGGGCUUCGUCACCCGCUCUUGUAGGCCCGGCCGGCGCUUGCCGACACAUCAAUCUUUUUUCCAGGUUGACCUCGGAUCAGGUAGGGAUACCCGCUGAACUUAAGCAUAUCAAUAAGCGGAGGA